rnacentral:misc_RNA from 1 species
GAUGAAGAACGUAGCGAAAUGCGAUACGUAAUGUGAAUUGCAGAAUUCAGUGAAUCAUCGAACCUUUGAACGCAUAUUGCGCUCUCUGGUAUUCCGGAGAGCAUGCUUGUUUGAGUAUCAGUAAACACCUCAACUUCCAUAUCUUUUUUGAAAUGGGAGUUGGACUUGAGUGAUCCCAACGCUUUUCCUCACCGAAAAGUGGCGGGUUACUUGAAAUGCAGGUGCAGCUGGACUUUUCUCUGAGCUAUAAGCAUAUCUAUUUAGUCUGCCUAAAAACAGAUUAUUACCUUUGCUGCAGCUAACAUAAAGGAGAUUAGUUCUUGUGCUGACUGAUGCAGGAUUCACAAAGACAGGCUUCGGCCGACUUUGUAAACUCGAUCUCAAAUCAAGUAAGACUACCCGCUGAACUUAAGCAUAUCAAUAAGCGGAGGA